UCACAAACAGCCCCGAGCCACCCGUGAGGGACAGGCCCUGCUGUGCCAGGCUGGGCUCAGGGCUUGGCCUUUCUGCUUCCCCCAGCCAGCCCAGGCCUUGCUCAGCAUUGCAGUUCCCUGCUCUGAGCCUUUGGCUCCCUGCAGUCCUGGCCUCAAGGAGCUGCUCUCACCAGUCCCUGGGGAGCCUUUGGCAGUGCCUGCCCUCAGUGGGACCCAGUGAUGCUCCAAGGGACUUGGAGUUUUGCUUCUGACUCCUUGAGCAGCUUCUUCAACCUUCUCUCAGUGCCUGAGGGUGCUGGAUUCAGCCCCAAAUCCACCGUGGCAGUCAUCAAAAUACAGAAAGCCCUUGGGGACUCUUUGUCUUCCUUCAAUGGUCUUCAGGUCUCCAGGGCUUGUGCAGCUGUUUGGAGUCAGUUUGGAGUUCUUGCAAGGAGGAGGAUUUCAAAGUGCACCUCAUGACUUUUUUUCUUUAAUCAAAUGGAAGCUGCUGGUGCCAUCCUCACCGUUAAGCUCUAUGGAACUAAGGAGUGCAUGGUGACCCAGAGGGGCUGCAUGGAGCCAAUGGCCCAUGGUGACACUGCCCAUCCAAGGAGGCCAUUUGGACACUGCGGAAGCUCAUGGAGCCAGGUAGGCCAUUGUGACACUGAGGAACUUUAUGCCACCAAAUAUCCAUGGUGACACAGCAGGGCACCACGGGAACCCAGGAACCGCUGUUGGCAGUGCGGAAACUCAUGGAACCAGGGGCCCUUGUGGCACUGCAGAACCAACACAGCUGCUGCACCUUGUCCCCUGGCCCUGCACAGCUCCUUGGGAGGCAUGGCAGGAGCAGCACCCUGGGAGCCUCGGGAAUGCCCCUCUGGCAUCCAUGGCACACGCUCCCAGGGGCUGGAAUUCCAGUUCCCAGCCAGGAAAAGAUGUUCCUGCCCCUGAAGGCAAAACUCUUAUGGAAGAGCCAGAAGCCAAGUGGAGCAAGAUCCUACAGUGACAUUUCACUGCCAGCCUUCAAAACUUCACCCAUGGUGGUUGUAGCUCCUGGAUUGGGAAUGAAAUCAGGGCAGGGUCUUUGGUGGGAGCUGCCCUGGGUCAAGGGGGACACUGAGACUGAAACAGAGCAGGCAGAGAAAGGCAGUAGAGAAAGGAGGACAUAAACACAAACAGCGAAUGCGAUGGAAAGAAGUAAUAUUGUAGCUUUAUUUCCUAUCAAAAUACAAUUUCCUCCCUUUCUCACA